GCAAGCGUUAAUCGGAAUUACUGGGCGUAAAGCGUGCGCAGGCGGUUUUGUAAGUUUGUCGUGAAAUCCCCGGGCUCAACCUGGGAAUGGCGAUGGAUACUGGCCAGCUAGAGUGUGUCAGAGGAUGGUGGAAUUUCCGGUGUAGCGGUGAAAUGCGUAGAGAUCGGAAGGAACAUCAGUGGCGAAGGCGGCCAUCUGGGACAACACUGACGCUGAAGCACGAAAGCGUGGGGAGCAAACAGGAUUAGAUACCCUGGUAGUCCACGCCCUAAACGAUGCGAACUGGAUGUUGGUCUCAACUCGGAGAUCAGUGUCGAAGCUAACGCGUUAAGUUCGCCGCCUGGGGAGUACGGUCGCAAGAACUGAAACUUCAAGGAAUUGACGGGGGGCCCGCACAAAGCGGUGGAGUAUGUGGUUAAAUUCGAUGGCAACGCGAAGAACCUUACCUGGCCUUGACAUGUCCGGAAUCCUGCAGAGAUGCGGGAGUGCCUUCGGGAAUCGGAACACAGGUGCUGCAUGGCUGUCGUCAGCUCGUGUCGUGAGAUGUUGGGUUAAGUCCCGCAACGAGCGCAACCCUUGUCCUUAGUUGCCAGCACGUAAUGGUGGGAACUCUAAGGAGACUGCCGGUGACAAACCGGAGGAAGGUGGGGAUGACGUCAAGUCCUCAUGGCCCUUACGGCCAGGGCUACACACGUACUACAAUGGUCGGUACAGAGGGUUGCGAUACCGCGAGGUGGAGCCAAUCCCAGAAAGCCGAUCCCAGUCCGGAUCGAAGUCUGCAACUCGACUUCGUGAAGUCGGAGUCGCUAGUAAUCGCGGAUCAGCUAUGCCGCGGUGAAUAC
rnacentral:rRNA from 1 species